AUAUCGUGCCUCGAAGCUACUGC
rnacentral:siRNA from 1 species